rnacentral:rRNA from 1 species
CCUACGGGCGGCUGCAGUGAGGAAUAUUGGUCAAUGGGCGGGACCCUUAACCAGCCAAGUCGCGUGAGGGACGACGGUCCUAUGGAUUGUACACCUCUUUUGUCGGGGAACAAAGGCGCCCACGGGUGGGCGGAUGAGUGUACCCGAAGAAAAAGCAUCGGCUCACUCCGUUCCAGCAGCCGCGGUACUACGGGGGAUGCGAGCGUUAUCCGGAUUUAUUGGGUUUAAUGGGUGCGUAGGCGGACAGUCAAGACAGCGGUAAAAAUGAGGUGCUAAACGCCGUACAGCCGUUGAAACUGGCAGUCUUGAGUGGGCGAGAAGAAUGCGGAAUGCGUGGUGUAGCGGUGAAAUGCAUAGAUAUCACGAAGAACUCCGAUUGCGAAGGCAGCAUUCUGGCGCCCGACUGACGCUGAGGCACGAAAGCGUGGGGAUCGAACAGGAUUAGAUACCCUUGUAGUC